rnacentral:miRNA from 1 species
AUAGAGCAUACUUGUGCAAAGG